AACGGCCGUACCAUGCUGAAUAUACCGGUUCUCGUUAGAUCACCGAAGUCAUGGAUCAUUGGGCGCGGUCAGUACUUGGGUGGGUGACCACCUGGGAACACCGCGUGCCGUU